rnacentral:rRNA from 1 species
GACGAACCAUGCAAACGUUAUUCGGAUUCACUGGGUUUAAAGGGUGCGUAGGCGGUCUUGUAAGUCAGUCGUGAAAUCGCUGGGCUCAACCCAUGCAAUUGCGAUUGAUACUGCGAGACUUGAAUGGGGUUAAGGCAGGCGGAAUGUGGCAUGUAGCGGUGAAAUGCAUAGAUAUGCCAUAGAACACCGAUUGCGAAGGCAGCCUGCUGGGCCUUUAUUGACGCUGAGGCACGAAAGCGUGGGGAGCAAACAGG